rnacentral:rRNA from 1 species
UUGGGACAGAAAGACCCUAUGAAGCUUGACUGUAGCUUGGAAUUGGGUUCGGGCUUUUCUUGCGCAGCCUAGGUGGGAGGCGUUGAAGGUUUUCUUUCGGGGAAAUUGGAGCCAACAGUGAGAGACCACUCUGGAGGAGCUAGAAUUCUAAUGGCGUUCCUUGAAGCAGGACGCUUGACAGUUUCAGGUGGGCAGUUUGACUGGGGCGGUCACCUCAUAAAAGGUAACGGAGGUGUGCAAAGGUUCCCUCAGGCUGGACGGAAAUCAGCCGGAGAGUGUAAAGGCAGAAGGGAGCUUGACUGCAAGACCUACAAGUCGAGCAGGGGCGAAAGCCGGCCUUAGUGAUCCGACGGUUCCAUGUGGAAGGGCCGUCGCUCAACGGAUAAAAGUUACUCUAGGGAAAAAAGGCUGAAAGGUGCA